CCUACGGGAGGCAGCAGUGAGGAAUAUUGGUCAAUGGACGAAAGUCUGAACCAGCCAAGUAGCGUGAAGGAUGACUGCCCUAUGGGUUGUAAACCUCUUUUAUAUGGGAAUAAAACAGGGUAUGCAUACCCUCUUGUAUGUACCAUAUGAAUAAGGAUCGGCUAACUCCGUGCCAGCAGCCGCGGUAAUACGGAGGAUCCGAGCGUUAUCCGGAUUUAUUGGGUUUAAAGGGAGCGUAGGUGGAUUGUUAAGUCAGUUGUGAAAGUUUGCGGCUCAACCGUAAAAUUGCAGUUGAAACUGGCAGUCUUGAGUACAGUAGAGGUGGGCGGAAUUCGUGGUGUAGCGGUGAAAUGCUUAGAUAUUACGAAGAACUCCGAUAGCGAAGGCAGCUUACUGGACUGCAACUGACACUGAUGCUCGAGAGUGUGGGUAUCAAACAGGAUUAGAUACCCGUGUAGUC
rnacentral:rRNA from 1 species